CCUACGGGAGGCAGCAGUGGGGAAUAUUGCACAAUGGGCGAAAGCCUGAUGCAGCAACGCCGCGUGAAGGAAGAAGGGUUUCGGCUCGUAAACUUCUAUCAACAGGGACGAAAGAAAUGACGGUACCUGAAUAAGAAGCCCCGGCUAACUACGUGCCAGCAGCCGCGGUAAUACGUAGGGGGCAAGCGUUAUCCGGAAUUAUUGGGUUUAAAGGGUGCGCAGGCGGAGGCACAAGUCAGCGGUAAAAUCGCGGGGCUCAACCCCGCUCCGCCGUUGAAACUGUGUCCCUUGAGUGCGCGAAGGGUAGGCGGAAUGCGUGGUGUAGCGGUGAAAUGCAUAGAUAUCACGCAGAACUCCGAUCGCGAAGGCAGCCUACCGGCGCGCAACUGACGCUCAUGCACGAAAGCGUGGGUAUCGAACAGGAUUAGAUACCCGAGUAGUC
rnacentral:rRNA from 1 species